CCUUUGGGACACAGCCAGCGGGAAUAAUGGUCAAAACCGAAAGUAUAACCAGCCCUUCCGGCUGAAAAAAGAAGGUCUUCGGGUUAUAAAAGUUCCUUCCUUAGGAGAAGGAAAAANUGACGUACCCAACGAAGAAGGCCCCACUCNC
rnacentral:rRNA from 1 species